UACGGAGGGGGCUAGCGUUGUUCGGAAUUACUGGGCGUAAAGCGCACGUAGGCGGCUUUGUAAGUUAGAGGUGAAAGCCUGGUGCUCAACACCAGAAUUGCCUUUAAGACUGCAUCGCUUGAACGUCGGAGAGGUGAGUGGAAUUCCGAGUGUAGAGGUGAAAUUCGUAGAUAUUCGGAAGAACACCAGUGGCGAAGGCGGCUCACUGGACGACUGUUGACGCUGAGGUGCGAAAGCGUGGGGAGCAAACAGG
rnacentral:rRNA from 1 species